rnacentral:rRNA from 1 species
UACGUAGGAUCCGAGCGUUAUCCGGAGUGACUGGGCGUAAAGAGUUGCGUAGGCGGUUAGUUAAGUGAAUAGGGAAACCUGGUGGCUCAACCAUACAGACUAUUAUUCAAACUGGCUAACUCGAGAAUAGCAGAGGUAACUGGAAUUUCUUGUGUAGGAGUGAAAUCCGUAGAUAUAAGAAGGAACACCAAUGGCGUAGGCAGGUUACUGGGCUAUUUCUGACGCUAAGGCACGAAAGCGUGGGGAGCGAACCGG